rnacentral:ncRNA from 17 species
AUCGUUCAUUCGCUAUUCGCAAAUAGCGAACGCAAAAGCCGACUGAAGGAACGGGAC